rnacentral:lncRNA from 1 species
ACAACUUAAAGAGGAGCCCACACCAUAUAUAUACACACGAUAUAUGCACAAAAGGAGGGAUUCACGGAUAGAGAGAGGAAAAAUGAAGAGAAAGGAUACUGAAAUAGAGAAAAUGCUAUUUUCUUUUAUUUUGGGUUUGCAACACAUGCACAUAUAUACACUAAGUUGCACACAUACAGAAAAAUGAAGUAAAUCAAGAUAUAGAGAGAGAGGGGGUAGAAGUGAUUGAGAGAGAUAGACGAAGGGAGAAAAGAGUAUAACAGAACUCAUCUGAAUUGGGGACUGGUGCGAGGUUUGGAUCCUUCUCCAAGUUUUUUUGAUGAAAACUUUCAUCGGAAUCGAUUUUGGUCCGUCGUCCGAUUGACCAGGUCAAAAAGAGUCCAAAUCAUAUUUUUCUUUGAUUACUAAGGGGAUCUUGCCGGAAACACUAAGUGUGGCCAGAAAAUGUUGACCAGCAGUGGAUCCUUCUGUAAAAUUGGUCUAGUUUCAAAUCAAUUUUUUUUGUGAUUAGUUUUUGUACGGGUAGGGUUUAUUCUGUUGGUUUUGAUUUCAUUCUUCGGCCAUCGUGUUAUUCUGGGAUUUAUAGUUUUGUCUGUUUCAGUCGAUUCGUUGAGGUAAACUUUGGAUUUCAGUUCUGCGAUAUCGAGUUGGAGUUGCUACUAUUGAGGUUUCCUAUUCAGGCUUUUGGAUCUGGGUUUUCUUAAAUAUUAUUAUAAAUGGAAAUCGACAUUCAGAAGAUUCAAUUCUAUCCUUGCUCCC